CUGAUAUUUUCAGAACCUCAGCCAUAGGACAACAUCUUGAGAAUGGAUAUCAAGGAAUUGGACAAGGUGUGCUGUUAGGUGACAGUGGCUAUCCCUGCAGACAGUUUUUGCUGACACCAUACAGACAACCAGCUGCUGGUAGAGGUCAAGCAAGGUUUAACACAAGGCAUUGCUCAAUAAGGUCAACAAUAGAAAGGACUUUUGGAAUAUGGAAGAAGCGCUUUCAUAUUCUAGGAUCAGAGAUCAGAAUGAAACCAGAUAAAGCUUGCCGAAUCAUCAUUGCUUGUGGUAUUCUGCACAAUAUUGCCAUCAUGAGGAAUGAACCUGACGUUGCAAAAGAACAAUUAAUGGACAAUCAACCACAGAUGCCACCCUAUAAUGGUCAACAGGACGGAAAAGGCAUACGGGACCAUUUUGCUACCACUUUUUUUGCCUAAUAAAUUGCAUGUUUUUAUUUUUCCAUA